rnacentral:misc_RNA from 1 species
AGGUAGAGGAGAAGAUUAAAC